rnacentral:lncRNA from 1 species
CCUGGACCUCCGAUGAUUUCUGAGAUGGGUAUAUGUUAAUGGAAUCCUUCUCCGAAUACGGGACAAACAUAUUAGUAGUGGUAGACCCCAAUGUCCAAUGAUCUUCAAUUUAUACCGAAUAUUGACUGUCAAAAAAAAAAAUGUUAACAUUCCAAUUUUCAAUAACAGUUAACAGCAAAUACAUUAUCACAAUAACAGAUAACAAAAAAACUAAAAGCCAAAUAACAGCUAACAAAGAAUAAGACAAUAACAGCUAACAG